AGCUCGCGUGGACGUGGGACCCGCGGCUGAGCGCGGCCAGCGGCUCUCACGUCCACCACCCUCGCAGAGAUUCGGUGCUUCCAGAACAUGGCUGUUUCACGUUACAAAAAGAGCAUGCCUAAGGGUGACAAUGCCACACGGGAACGAAUCCUCCAAGACCCUCCUCUCCCGCCUCCUGAGCUGCCCUUUAGCAAUGGUGCUUUCAGAGGAGCCUGAAUUAGGAAUCUAAGUUGGAGACAAAACACGUCUAACUCCCCAGCUUUAACGACCUUAAAACAGCUACCUUUUCUGUGACUUCACCUGGUGUGCUUGCACAGGUUUGUAGCUGCCUCUGCAUAUUAAAACGUCAGAACUCA